UACAGAGGUCUCAAGCGUUGUUCGGAUUCAUUGGGCGUAAAGGGUGCGUAGGCGGCGAGGUAAGUCGGAUGUGAAAUCCCGGGGCUCAACCCCGGAACUGCAUUCGAUACUGCUUUGCUUGAGUACUGGAGAGGAGACUGGAAUUUACGGUGUAGCAGUGAAAUGCGUAGAUAUCGUAAGGAAGACCAGUGGCGAAGGCGAGUCUCUGGACAGUUACUGACGCUGAGGCACGAAGGCCAGGGGAGCAAACGGG
rnacentral:rRNA from 1 species